GAACAAGAAAGUCAAGUGCAUUAGCCAUAUGUUUAUUAAUACAUAGGACACAACAAACUACCAAUUUUGUAUGAAUACUUGAAUACCCACAUUUAUUGGCUCAAAAAUAUAACAAAUUUUAGUUCGAAAAACAAAAGUACAUUUUUCAGAUUUCCUAAAUUAUGUGAUAUUACUGUCAGAAAAGCAUGUCUAUUGAAAUAAAAUGAACAUUGCAUAAGAAAUACUAUCAAUAUGUACAAAGAAACUUAUAAAUAUUUCAGCUGUAGUUAAUGUACAGAACAUAGUAAGUUAGUAUGUACAAUUAUCAAAACAUUCAUCCAGUCAAACAUCAUCUUCUCA